UCUGUCUCACCCUUGGCAGGUGCGGCUGCUGUAUCACAUGUGGGUCAGUAGGAGGCAGAGAAGAGAGAGGCUUUGGUUAUGCCCAGUGUUCUGACCUAUGAACAUCUGAAUGAGUAGUAGCCUAACCCU